rnacentral:rRNA from 1 species
GUCGAGCUUUAGAAAAUUUUAUUAGAAUAAUUUCAAAUUGAUAAACAUAUAAUACAAUUUCAAAUCCAAAAAAAAUAUCUUUGGUUGGGGCAACCACGAAGAAAAAGUAACCUUCGUUCUAAAAAAAAAAUUUACAAAUAUAAAAUUUUUUAAAAAAAAUAAGAUCCAGAAUUUCUGAUCAAAGAAACAAGUUACCGCAGGGAUAACAGCGUUAUUCUCUUUGAGAGCCCGUAUUGACAAGAGAGUUUGCGACCUCGAUGUUGGACCGGGGCAUCCUAGAGGCGCAACAGCCUCUAAAGGUAGGUCUGUUCGACCAUUAAAGCCCUACGUGA